rnacentral:rRNA from 1 species
UACGUAGGGGGCAAGCGUUGUCCGGAUUUAUUGGGCGUAAAGAGCGUGUAGGCGGUUAGGUAGGUCCGCCGUGAAAACUGGAGGCUUAACCUCCAGACGUCGGUGGAAACCGUAUGACUAGAGUCCGGAAGAGGAGAGUGGAAUUCCUGGUGUAGCGGUGAAAUGCGCAGAUAUCAGGAAGAACACCAAUGGCGAAGGCAGCUCUCUGGGACGGUACUGACGCUGAGACGCGAAAGCGUGGGGAGCGAACAGG